rnacentral:rRNA from 1 species
UACGUAGGGGGCAAGCGUUGUCCGGAUUUAUUGGGCGUAAAGAGCGUGUAGGCGGCCAGGUAGGUCUGCUGUGAAAACUCGAGGCUAACCUCGAGCUGUCGGCGGAAACCAUCUGGCUAGAGUCCGGAAGAGGAGAAUGGAGUUCCCGGUGUAGCGGUGAAAUGCGCAGAUAUCGGGAAGAACACCCGUGGCGAAGGCGGUUCUCUGGAACGGUACUGACGCUGAGACGCGAAAGCGUGGGGAGCGAACAGG